rnacentral:rRNA from 1 species
UACGGAGGGUGCGAGCGUUGUCCGGAAUCACUGGGCGUAAAGGGCGCGUAGGCGGCAGGCCAAGCGUGCGGUGAAAGUCCGGGGCUCAACCCCGGAUCUGCCGUGCGGACUGGUUUGCUAGAGCACUGUAGAGGCGAGUGGAAUUCCGGGUGCAGCGGUGGAAUGCGUAGAGAUCCGGAAGAACACCGGUGGCGAAGGCGGCUCGCUGGGCAGUGGCUGACGCUGAGGCGCGACAGCGUGGGGAGCAAACAGG